CUUUAGUCAAUUUCAGAGACUCAAAGACUCAAUCCAAAAUUGAAUCUUUUUUUCUUUUUUUCAAAUCAAUAGAAGCAAACAAACAUUGUGGGCUGCUAAUUUCAUCCAUGAACCCGUUAGAGCAUUUUAUGAGAUACUAAUUUCAUCAAUGAUACAAUAAAGCUCAAAUGCAUGAGAUGCGAGUGAAGGACAAUCAUUUCCCCUUGGUGUGGCUUGUGGCGAACAUAGCAAACAGGUAGCUGUGUCAGUUUACAUCAGACAGAACAACCUUUUACUUCUUUCACUACAUUGGUUUGGCCCAACAAGAACCUCUUUUUUUUUUAUUCUUAUCUUCAACUUCCACCAGGGAUGGAUGCUAGUGAUUGUAACACUGCCAGUGCCAGUGAACACAAAUCUAUUAAUGACCAAACCAUUUCCUAGCAGGACUACUCUCCCUGCUUAUCUGUUCCAACUUUCACUGAAACCUUUAUCUACGCCAAAAGGCCAUGAAAAACUUUCCUCAUUUGAACAAAAGUACAGCUAACCCCACCUCCUUCGACAAUGAAUAGUGUUGUUUCAAAAUGAAUGGUUUGCCUUUGAUUGCUCUAGGAAAAUGAACAAAAAAUUCAAAUAUGGAAGUUAACAAGCUAAAUGACUAAAAACCCAUUCACAGGUGAUGACUGCUGAAUUCCUUCACCCCGGAUCAGGGGCUUGACCACAGCCCAAGGCCCAUGACGUAGAGGCCCACACACACCUGAUAUAUAUAACAAGCCUGGCUCAUCCAACCUUCAAAGCCGGGCUCGACCCAUCUUCCUCACUCAAGCCGGCCCGGCCCGCACGAAGCAGGCCCUCUCCACUCAGGCUUAGCAUCCGGCCCAACUCUCAGCCCAGUCCAGGAUCCAGAAUAAUAUUCACUAGACAGCCUGGCAGAUCCGCUCGAACGUACGCACGAGGAGAAUCAGAGGCCGUUAUGCAUGGAGCAUGCGGCUGAUACCCUAGUACCUCCGAAUCCGCAUGGCAGAGACGCGUGGCCCAAUCCUGGAGAGACCUUUACACGUCACCAGCAGGCAAGAUAAUGUAUAAAAGAGGAGUCCCCUCCUCAGAAAGCUUAAGCCUUAUUCAGUAAUACAAAACCCUUGUAAAACCCUAUUCUAUUGGAUCUCAGAUCAUCAACAGGAAAAUCAAAAUAUGACAACAGUAACUUGUUGCCUCCAUCAUGAAUGCAACUGGAAAAUGGAAUGACAGCAGUAGCUGUACCAAAAUUUUUAUGAUGGCAUCCCAACCGCCUAUCACAUUAUUACAUAUAUUGUACAGAUAUGAAACAGUAAUAAUUUUUGCCUCUUGUUUAUUCCAUUACUCCCCUGUUCUGAUAUUCUGCAAAGGAAAUAAAUUAUCACAUGCUUUAAAAUAAAAUACGCCAGCUGCUCAAAAAUCAAAUUUUAAUUUACACUGGCCCCCUAAAGUUCCACAAUCUUUAUAAGCAUCUUAGCAAGAGAGGAAAAAUAAACUAAAACAAAAUAGUCACCCUAAAAAGGUUCUUAACAUACUAAGAAAAAUAAUUUGUCUCACACCCAAUUGCAAAGUGAGUGUGGAAAUGGAGAUACAAUGUACAGAUGCCAACAAACAACAGUUAGAUUCCACAUUAUACCGAUUAGCCAACCAACUGCAUAACCCAAGCAAACAUGCAAAUAUGAGGACUUCAUUCAGUUGACAAGUUACUAUACUGCCAAGGAUUGAAUUCGAUUGACUGGACAUCAACCUCCACUAUGCUGUCUGAGUUGUCCACAACAGCCCUAUGUUCAGCGUAUUUACCGUUGUACUGGUAAACUUCCAAGUCACCCCAUGGAGUUGGGGUAACCUCAUCAGUCAUAUCAAAC
rnacentral:lncRNA from 1 species